rnacentral:rRNA from 1 species
GCUCGUGUCGUGAGAUGUUGGGUUAAGUCCCGCAACGAGCGCAACCCCUGCCGUCAGUUAUAGGUGUCUGGCGGGACUGCCGGCUGUAUGGUCGGAGGAAGGCGGGGAUGACGUCAAGUCCGCAUGGCCCUUACGUCUGGGGCGACACACACGCUACAAUGGCCAGCACAGCACGCUGCAAACCCGCAAGGGGGAGCANNNUCGCCAAAGCUGGUCUCAGUGCANAUCGGGGGCUGCAACUCGCCCCC